rnacentral:rRNA from 1 species
AGAAUUUGAUCUUGGUUCAGAACGAACGCUGGCGGCAUGGAUUAGGCAUGCAAGUUGAACGAACUCCUUCGGGAGUGAGUAGCGGAAGGGUGAGGAACGCGUGAGUAAUCUGCCCCCCAGUUGGGAAUAACAGUUGGAAACGACUGCUAAUACCGAAUGUGGCUUAAGCUUCGCCUGGAGCUUUGGCUAAAGAUUUAUCGCUGGGGGAUGAGCUCGCGUCCCAUUAGGUAGUUGGUGAGGUAACGGCUCACCAAGCCGACGAUGGGUAGCUGGUCUGAGAGGAUGGUCAGCCACACUGGGACUGAGACACUGCCCAGACUCCUACGGGAGGCUGCAGUCGAGAAUCUUGGGCAAUGCGCGAAAGCGUGAACCCCCAGCAAUGCCGCGUGUAUGAUGAAGGCCCUCGGGUCGUAAAGUACUGUCUCCCGUGACGAAAUUUGACGGUAGCGGGGAAGGAAGCCACGGCUAACUACGUGCCAGCAGCCGC